UACGCCGUGUCUCCCCUCAUUGGUCACUUCCACUUAUUUCAUAAUGCAUCUUGAUUCUUUCAUUAUGAGAGCUGUCAGACUCAUAUUUGCUCUCUGAUGCCCGACUAAUCUCGGAAACCAUGAGCAGAAUACAAAUGUACCGAUACUUCCUUUUGGUCUACAUUGUCGGGCGUGUGAUCUUCUUGUCUUUGGUCCUAGCAGAUGGCGCUGUGCAAUGCUGGUGGGAGGCUGCAUUGGCAUCGCCGCCAAGCAAGGAGCUCUCCUGCGGCUCAAAAGAAAUCGCCCUCAGCCUGCUGCAUGGUUUUGGCGCCCGGGGCCAGAUGCUCUUCAGAAAGCAUCUUAAAGAAGAAAUCCACGAUGACUUGCCUGCGUGCAGCUCUCAUUUUCCGUCGCUCCCGAAGUCUUCCCCCAGCAUGCCUGCAAGCAAACUUUCUUCUUUGCUCCCAUUUAAAUAGGAAAGUUGCUGACUCAUUUACAUUGCUAAUAGAUGUUGGUUAUGCGCCAGCAAGACAAGUUUGUCUUGUAGCUUUUCCUUUUAAACAACUUGCAUGACCCAAGGAGCUACCAGAACUAAACAUUUUCAGCAAUACUGUACAGAGACUACAUAAUAGAAAUACAAACAAUAAAAACAACACUCUAUAAACACACCAUCCAGCCAACAUUGGGACGAUAUAUAUAUUAUAAUGAUUUUCUAUGCUAGAGCCUGUACAGCGGGAAUAAUGUUCAGUCUUGAUUUACAUUGUCAAAGAGGUAUUAAUUUAACAAUUUAAUCAUAAGGAGUAUUAUUAUGAUUAUGGUUUUUGUGAUCACUGGUGUAUAAUUGUAUUGUAUCAUUCUGGUAGUUUUUUCUCUUUUUUUUCAUGAACUUUCAUGAGGAAUUGAGGUCAAGAAAUUAUUAGAUACACCUCUAACUGUAAUGAACAACAGUACAACUAAAAUCAAAACAACGAAACACUUUUUGGCUUUUCUUUGACUUUUUUUUUUUUUUUCUCCAAGGCGUACUUGUUCCUGGAAUGUUAGAAAGUUAUGCAUUCACAUUCACAGGAGUACACUCCGGGGUUACCGCAUGCUUCAUUACUUAUUCAAAGUCAAGGUUUGAGUGUUCUUUUGUUAUGUUUUAUUAAUAAUAGUGGUAGCAUGUUCCUCCGCUAUCCACAGUAUAGGGGCCAAGACCUGGUGUGAAUAGUGAAAAUUGUGCAAAUAAUUGCCGCUCACACACCCCACUGUACCACUUUUGUUUAAAUGCAUUUCCUUAACAUUCAUUGGGACAAGGAUGCCACAAGAUGGCACCAAAAUAACAAUGUUAUUGCUCUGGAUUGAGAAGAAAAAAACAGUGAAUAGGUGAGUUUUCAGCGACUAACAGAUAAAACCUAUGAAUGCAGAAUGAUGAAUAUGUUGGGGCCCAUUGUAAAUCUGUGACAGAUACUUUGAUAGUCUCACCAGCGGUACUUGUAAUAUGUAAAUAUCUGUGACUGUAAAAAAUAUCUAACUGUAGACAAAAUGUUGAACUGAAGAACAUUUUUUAAAGAUCUAGUUAGACUUUACAGUUCAGAUCUAUUUGACAAAUGACCACAUCAUUGCAGCUGUGUUUCUUUUAACUUCCUCGAAACCAUAAAAGGCAAAGGCACAUUUUCUAAAGAGCCUUUUCAGUGGCCGAACAACAGUAAGACACAGCAUGUGGUUUUAAUGGGACCACAUGAAAACCACUCUUGUCAGUAAAUAUUUAACAGCACACUAAUAACUACAUUCAAAAGUAAAUGUACAGGUUCAUUAACAGUUUCAGUGCAUCGCAUUCAAUACCUUCAGUAUUAGCUCGAGUAUUGUUUUCCCCCCAUAUAUUUACAUUUAGAAAAGGCUUGUGUCUUAUUCCAGAGGGUUGACUGGUUGUUGAAGAAAAAAUACGAGUUACUACUCAUGACUCACAGGUCUUCAGUAGAGCAUCAUAUUUCCAUUUUAAUGUUUUGCCCUGUUUACCAACCUCUAUCUACCUCAAUCCAAGCCAACAAGCUCCUCCAGAACACAACCUGCAAGCGUUGAUGUGAUGAAUCAUUUCACAACUAAGGAUGGAGGUCAAAUAGAGCCGCUGUUGCAGUGUUGUGAAAAAGUAUUUGCCCCCGUCUGAAAGCUGUCUGACGACACAUGCCAAGUUUCACUGCUGUUCCCAGUUUCCUUCAUUUGUAUAUAAUGACUCUGACUGUGAUUCACAGGAGUCCUAAAGGCUUGGAACUUUCAACUUUUCCAGACAGAUUCCAAUCACUAUUUUCCAUUUUU